rnacentral:rRNA from 1 species
AACAAGGAUUCCCCUAGUAACUGCGAGUGAAGCGGGAAAAGCUCAAAUUUAAAAUCUGGCGGUCUUUGGCCGUCCGAGUUGUAAUUUAGAGAAGUGUUAUCCGCGCUGGACCGUGUACAAGUCUCCUGGAACGGAGCGUCAUAGAGGGUGAGAAUCCCGUCUUUGACACGGACCACCAGUGCUUUGUGAUGCGCUCUCGAAGAGUCGAGUUGUUUGGGAAUGCAGCUCAAAAUGGGUGGUAAAUUCCAUCUAAAGCUAAAUAUUGGCGAGAGACCGAUAGCGAACAAGUACCGUGAGGGAAAGAUGAAAAGAACUUUGGAAAGAGAGUUAAACAGUACGUGAAAUUGUUGAAAGGGAAACGCUUGAAGUCAGUCGCGUUGUCCGGGGAUCAACCUUGCAUUCGUGCUUGGCGUACUUCCCGGUCGACGGGUCAGCAUCAAUUUUGACCGCUGGAUAAAGGUCAGGGGAAUGUGGCAUCCUCGGAUGUGUUAUAGCCUCUGGCUGCAUACAGCGGUUGGGAUUGAGGAACUCAGCACGCCGCAAGGCCGGGUUUUUAACCACGUACGUGCUUAGGAUGCUGGCAUAAUGGCUUUAAUCGACCCGUCUUGAAACACGGACCAAGGAGUCUAACAUGCCCGCGAGUGUUUGGGUGGAAAACCCGAGCGCGUAAUGAAAGUGAAAGUUGAGAUCUCUGUCGUGGAGAGCAUCGACGCCCGGACCAGACCUUCYGUGACGGAUCCGCGGUAGAGMGUGU